rnacentral:rRNA from 1 species
GAUGAACGCUGGCGGCGUGCCUAAUACAUGCAAGUCGAGCGAACAGAUAAGGAGCUUGCUCCUUUGACGUUAGCGGCGGACGGGUGAGUAACACGUGGGUAACCUACCUAUAAGACUGGAAUAACUCCGGGAAACCGGGGCUAAUGCCGGAUAACAUUUAGAACCGCAUGGUUCUAAAGUGAAAGAUGGUUUUGCUAUCACUUAUAGAUGGACCCGCGCCGUAUUAGCUAGUUGGUAAGGUAACGGCUUACCAAGGCAACGAUACGUAGCCGACCUGAGAGGUUGAUCGGCCACACUGGAACUGAGACACGGUCCAGACUCCUACGGGAGGCAGCAGUAGGGAAUCUUCCGCAAUGGGCGAAAGCCUGACGGAGCAACGCCGCGUGAGUGAUGAAGGUCUUCGGAUCGUAAAACUCUGUUAUUAGGGAAGAACAAAUGUGUAAGUAACUGUGCACGUCUUGACGGUACCUAAUCAGAAAGCCACGGCUAACUACGUG